rnacentral:rRNA from 1 species
AGGACGAACGCUGGCGGCGUGCCUAACACAUGCAAGUCGAACGCGCUCCAUUCGGUAGCAAUACUGAUGAAGAGCGAGUGGCGAACGGGUGAGUAGCACGUGAGCAACCUGCCCCGAAGACUGGGACAACACCGGGAAACCGGUGCUAAUACCGGAUAUCCCUAUUGGAUCGCAUGAUCCGAUAAGGAAAUGUUUUUCGCUUCGGGAGGGGCUCGCGGCCUAUCAGCUAGUUGGUGGGGUAACGGCCCACCAAGGCAUCGACGGGUAGCUGGUCUGAGAGGACGAUCAGCCACACUGGGACUGAGACACGGCCCAGACUCCUACGGGAGGCAGCAGUGGGGAAUCUUGCGCAAUGGGCGAAAGCCUGACGCAGCAACGCCGCGUGGAGGACGAAGGCUUUCUGAGUUGUAAACUCCUUUCAGCAGGGACGAUUGUGACGGUACCUGCAGAAGAAGCACCGGCCAACUACGCGCCAGCAGCCG